AACGCCGUAAAUCUCGCGAGAACACAAAUGUGCGCGUGUUCUUGUUCCAACCCAAACAUGGAAGCAGUAGAAGCAUCAGGAAGAGGCUCUGAAAACAAGGCUUGGUUAUAGAAAAGAGGGGAAGUUGAACGCCGAUAAAACCACGCAGAUAAUAUGAAGAGAGCCCAGUAAAGUUACAGAAGACAGCAGCAUAAAGAGAGGCAACAGGAUGUCCCGUCAAGGUAAGGA